rnacentral:lncRNA from 1 species
UUCUUCUUGUCACUGGGUCUUUUAAGUCAUUAUUGUGGAAUCACUGCAAUGUUGUAGAUCCAUCCUCAGUGUUCUACCGUCACAGACAUUAAACUCUGUAGCCGUUUUAAAACCAUCACUGGCCUCAUGGCGACAUCCCUGAGCAGUUUCCUUCCUGUCCUGCAGCUCAGUUCAGAAGGACGUCUGUAUCUUUCAUCUGUCUGGGUGCUUUAAUAUAUAAUCCACAGCAUAAUGAUUAACUUGACUAUGCUUAAAGAGAUAUUCAAUGUCUGAUUUUUUUUUUUUUUAAUCUACCAAUCACCUCUCUUCUUUAUGAGGCUUUUGAAAAGCUCCCUGGUCUUUGCAGUUCAAUCUGUCCUUGAAAUUCAAUAUUUGACUGAGGGACCUUACAGAUGUUGUAUAUAUGUGGGACAGAGGAAAAGAAAGUCAAUCAAAAAUCAUGUCAAUCCCUAUUAUUUCACACAGGGUGAGUCCAUGUAAAUUAGUAUGCGAUUUGUUAAGGCACAUUUCACUCCUGAACUAAUCACACUGAAACAAAGGGGCUGAAUACUUAUGCAACUACUAAACACUGAGUGGACAAAAAAUUAGGAACACUAGCUUUUUCCAUGACAUAGACUGACCAGGUGAAUCCAGGUGAAAGCUAUGAUCCCUUAUUGAUGUCACUUGUUAAAUCCACUUCAAUCAGUGUAGAUGAAGGGGAGGAGACAGGUUAAAGAAGGAUUUAUAAGCCUUGAGUCAAUUGAGACAUGGAUUGUGUAUGUGUGUCAUUCAGAGGGUGAAUGGGCAAGACAAAAUAUUUAUGUGCCUUUGAACGGGGGGAUGGUAAAAGGUGCCAGGCGCACCGGUUUGAGUCAAGAACUGUAAAGCUGCUGGGGUUUUCACUCUCAACAGUUUCCUCUGUGUAUCAAGAAUGGUCCACCACCCAAAGGACAUCCUGGGGCAAUAUUGGAUGAAUCACAAUAAUUGUUCGCUAAAAUAAUAAUUGCUUGACAAAAAUGUAAUUAUUGUUAUGGCAAUCCUUGUUAGAAGUAACAAUCCUGGUUAGAAGUAACAAUCCUGGUUAAAGGUAACAAUCCUGGUUAAAGGUAACAAUCCUGGUUAAAGGUAACAAUCCUGGUUAGAGGUAACAAUCCUGGUUAAAGGUAACAAUCCUGGUUAGAGGUAACAAUCCUGGUUAAAGGUAACAAUCCUGGUUAGAGGUAACAAUCCUGGUUAGAGGUAACAAUCCUGGUUAGAGGUAACAAUCCUGGUUAGAGGUAACAAUCCUGGUUAAAG